rnacentral:rRNA from 1 species
GUGACCUCAAAUCAGGUAGGACUACCCGCUGAACUUAAGCAUAUCAAUAAGCGGAGGAAAAGAAACUAACAAGGAUUCCCCUAGUAACUGCGAGUGAAGCGGGAAAAGCUCAAAUUUAAAAUCUGGCGGUCUCUUGGCUGUCCGAGUUGUAAUCUAGAGAAGUGUUAUCCGCGCUGGACCGUGUACAAGUCUCCUGGAAUGGAGCAUCAUAGAGGGUGAGAAUCCCGUCUUUGACAUGGACUGCCAGGGCUUUGUGAUGCGCUCUCAAAGAGUCGAGUUGUUUGGGAAUGCAGCUCAAAAUGGGUGGUAAAUUCCAUCUAAAGCUAAAUAUUGGCGAGAGACCGAUAGCGAACAAGUACCGUGAGGGAAAGAUGAAAAGAACUUUGGAAAGAGAGUUAAACAGUACGUGAAAUUGCUGAAAGGGAAACGCUUGAAGUCAGUCGCGUCGUCCAGGGAUCAACCUUGCUUUUGCCUGGUGCACUUCCUGGUUUGACGGGUCAGCAUCAAUUUUGAUCAUUGGAAAAAGGCUAAGGGAAUGUGGCAUCUUUGGAUGUGUUAUAGCCCUUGGUCACAUACAAUGGUUGGGAUUGAGGAACUCAGCACGCCGCAAGGCCGGGUUUUAAACCACGUACGUGCUUAGGAUGCUGGCAAUAUGGCUUUAAUCGACC